CUUCUACUCCCUCCGUCCGGAAAUACUUGUCUUAUAAAUGGUUGAAAAUGGAUGUGUCUAAAACUAAAAUAAGUCUAGAUACAACCAUUUCUAGGACAAGUAUUUCCGACGGAGAGAAUAUAUC
rfam:Triticum urartu cultivar G1812 contig208624, whole genome shotgun sequence.